CCCGCGGGCGGUCAGUGCAUUUUCCCUUUAGGUUUAUAAGCAAGUUCAGCAAGGACAGUCAAACUGGGGUGAAAGUGCCCGGUCGGGGAGGGGGGGGAGGGGUGGCGGCUGUCUAAAGGGAGGAUCGAAAGAUCGAAGAGCUUCAAGGCUUCCUUGCGUCGUACAUCAGCGGCUUCUUACUCUGCACUUUCUUGGGCACCAUCAUUAUCGACAUCACGUGUUUAUACAGGAUCCUUUCGCGGGGACCCGAGUUGAGGGACGUGGUGGAUGUGGCCUCCAUUGUUGUGGCUUAUAUUAACAUCUGUCAUUCAGCUCAAAACUACGGUGACCAUAUAGGAAAAGUCCAUUUAAAAAUCCGGAGAAUAGUUGGCAAGAAUUCAGACCCCAAAGUGCUAUCAAAGAUGACAGUUAUCCUGAUGACCCUGGAUCGAAUGAGAACCUUCGACGUGAGCGGAUAUUUCACCCUGGGGCAUCACACGCUUGUCGAGGUCGCCAGCUUCACCGCCACAUAUCUCGUUGUGCUUUUGCAAUUUGUGGGAUGAGAAAACUCCUCUUCCUCCUUCUUCUUCUUCCUCUGUCGGCUAAGAUGGGAAGGAGAAGGUGUCCUCCUAUCGAUCGCCACGAAGCACCGACCGACGCAGCGGCGAGUUUCCUCCUCCCACGCAUUCGUGCAUCAUUCAUUGGCUGCAACUUCGUGGGAAAUGCGAUCUACCUCUCUUUCUCUCUGUUUCUUUCUUUCUCUCUCUCGCUAAACUCUGCGACAACAAGAAUAAAUAAGUUUUUAGUGACGCUGACGUUUCUUCCUUCUUUUUCAGUUUAUAUGAAAGAAAUUAAGCGCUAUGGAGUCAUUGAGUGUUUUUUGUAUCCCUCUCUUUCUCUCUUUAAACUUUGCGACAGCAAGAAUAAAUAAAUUUUUAAUGACGUUUCUUCCUUCUUUUUCAGUUUAUAUGAAAGAAAUUAAGCGCUAUGGUGUCCUUUUUUUAGGUGAAAAACUAUGGAGUCAUUGAGUGUUUUUUGUAUCCCUCUCUUUCUCUCUUUAAACUUUGCGACAACAAGAAUAAAUAAAUUUUUAAUGA